rnacentral:rRNA from 1 species
AUGCACGCUGGCGGCGUGCCUAAUACCUGCAAGUCGCGCGAACAGACGAGGAGCUUGCUCCUCUGACGUUAGCGGCGGACGGGUGAGCAACACGUGGAUAACCUACCUAUAAGACUGGGAUAACUUCGGGAAACCGGAGCUAAUACCGGAUAAUAUAUUGAACCGCAUGGUUCAAUAGUGAAAGACGGUUUUGCUGUCACUUAUAGAUGGAUCCGCGCCGCAUUAGCUAGUUGGUAAGGUAACGGCUUACCAAGGCAACGAUGCGUAGCCGACCUGAGAGGGUGAUCGGCCACACUGGAACUGAGACACGGUCCAGACUCCUACGGGAGGCAGCAGUAGGGAAUCUUCCGCAAUGGGCGAAAGCCUGACGGAGCAACGCCGCGUGAGUGAUGAAGGUCUUCGGAUCGUAAAACUCUGUUAUUAGGGAAGAACAAAUGUGUAAGUAACUAUGCACGUCUUGACGGUACCUAAUCAGAAAGCCACGGCUAACUACGUG